GUGUAUGGCCAUGCCACCCUAAACAUGCCGAUCUCAUCUGAUCUCAGAAGCUAAGCAGAGUUGGGCCUGGUUAGUACUUGGAUGGGAGACCACCUAGGAAUACCAGGUGCUAUAGCCA
rnacentral:rRNA from 1 species